CUUUGGGUCACUUGCUGGACUGAGCAUCUGUCUCACUCAACUGAACAGCUGGAGGGAUGGUGGGUGUCUCUGCGGGCCAUGCAUGUGUCCUGUUCCGGGAGGAGAAGGGAGAGCUAACUACAAGGCUGAAAAAACCACUCAAAUGAGAGCAGUGUAAUAUGGUACAAUGAGCACUAUGUCAGCCUGCAGAAGUCCUAGCCCAGGCUCUAGGGCCUCCUCUCUCACUGAUCAGCUUGGAGCUAUGGUAAUAAAGCCAAGAUUCAGAGAAAUUAAGCAUCUCAAUGGAAGUCAUGCAGCUACAGGAAGCAGAGUCAGACGGGUCUGACUUCACUGUCUCCAGUGCAUCAUGCUAACCCUCCUGCUUCUCCUCUCUACCUAGUUAGGGGCUUUCUAACAGGCCAGAAGAUUAGAUGAGAGAGGCAUUGCCAUUUUGCACUGAUGCUAUGAUUGUCAACUCCAGGACUCACCACACUAUCUGGCUCAUUGCAUUUUCAUUGAAUGAUAUUUCCACUUCUAUGAUUCGGAUAAGAAUAGUUUAUGUCAAUGUUGAGAGGACACGUAAGUGUGCAAUCACUUUGAACUCUAACAAGAAAAAUAACAUGAUUGUUUAGGUCUUAACAGGUGAUGUUCUAAGACCUGUCAUAUAUUAAUCACAUCAUUCUCAUAAAAAUCCUAUAAGGUAUGACUGUCUAUUUGCAUGGCACACUUGAGAGAUAAAGUCACUUUCUGAAGAUUAUACAGUAAAUAAAUAUGGAGC
rnacentral:lncRNA from 1 species